UAUUUUUGUUUUAGGAUGACCU
rnacentral:miRNA from 1 species